rnacentral:rRNA from 1 species
GAGUUUGAUCAUGGCUCAGAUUGAACGCUGGCGGCAUGCCUUACACAUGCAAGUCGAACGGCAGCACGGGUGCUUGCACCUGGUGGCGAGUGGCGAACGGGUGAGUAAUACAUCGGAACAUGUCCUGUAGUGGGGGAUAGCCCGGCGAAAGCCGGAUUAAUACCGCAUACGAUCUACGGAUGAAAGCGGGGGACCUUCGGGCCUCGCGCUAUAGGGUUGGCCGAUGGCUGAUUAGCUAGUUGGUGGGGUAAAGGCCUACCAAGGCGACGAUCAGUAGCUGGUCUGAGAGGACGACCAGCCACACUGGGACUGAGACACGGCCCAGACUCCUACGGGAGGCAGCAGUGGGGAAUUUUGGACAAUGGGCGAAAGCCUGAUCCAGCAAUGCCGCGUGUGUGAAGAAGGCCUUCGGGUUGUAAAGCACUUUUGUCCGGAAAGAAAUCCUUGGCUCUAAUACAGUCGGGGGAUGACGGUACCGGAAGAAUAAGCACCGGCUAACUACUGGCCAGCAGCCGCGGUAAUACGUAGGGUGCGAGCGUUAAUCGGAAUUACUGGGCGUAAAGCGUGCGCAGGCGGUUUGCUAAGACCGAUGUGAAAUCCCCGGGCUCAACCUGGGAACUGCAUUGGUGACUGGCAGGCUAGAGUAUGGCAGAGGGGGGUAGAAUUCCACGUGUAGCAGUGAAAUGCGUAGAGAUGUGGAGGAAUACCGAUGGCGAAGGCAGCCCCCUGGGCCAAUACUGACGCUCAUGCACGAAAGCGUGGGGAGCAAACAGGAUUAGAUACCCUGGUAGUCCACGCCCUAAACGAUGUCAACUAGUUGUUGGGGAUUCAUUUCCUUAGUAACGUAGCUAACGCGUGAAGUUGACCGCCUGGGGAGUACGGUCGCAAGAUUAAAACUCAAAGGAAUUGACGGGGACCCGCACAAGCGGUGGAUGAUGUGGAUUAAUUCGAUGCAACGCGAAAAACCUUACCUACCCUUGACAUGGUCGGAAUCCCGCUGAGAGGUGGGAGUGCUCGAAAGAGAACCGGCGCACAGGUGCUGCAUGGCUGUCGUCAGCUCGUGUCGUGAGAUGUUGGGUUAAGUCCCGCAACGAGCGCAACCCUUGUCCUUAGUUGCUACGCAAGAGCACUCUAAGGAGACUGCCGGUGACAAACCGGAGGAAGGUGGGGAUGACGUCAAGUCCUCAUGGCCCUUAUGGGUAGGGCUUCACACGUCAUACAAUGGUCGGAACAGAGGGUUGCCAACCCGCGAGGGGGAGCUAAUCCCAGAAAACCGAUCGUAGUCCGGAUUGCACUCUGCAACUCGAGUGCAUGAAGCUGGAAUCGCUAGUAAUCGCGGAUCAGCAUGCCGCGGUGAAUACGU